AAAUCAAAUCAUGCAUGAGCCGAAAAACAUAAUUUUAAAAACGUGUGACUUGCAUGUAGGUGCUCACACUGAACGCACAAGAAAGUGCAAGAGUUCAAUUUUCUAAUGAUUUAUUCAAAAUUUCUACCUGAAUGCCUCAAAAGUUGGGUCUAGUGCUCAGAACCUUUCUUCUAAUUCACAUGACUGGAGGCUGAAGAGUUUCAAAAUGGUUGAAUACGGCAGUGGAAACCUCGGAAUUAUUGACGUGGCCGUCAUUGCUAGUUGUCUCGCCGUAUCAGCUGCCAUUGGUGUCUAUUAUAGAUUCUCGGGAGGGAAACAAAAGACUGCAGAGGAGUACUUGCUAGGAGGUAAAGAGCAAAAGAUUGUGCCAGUAGCACUAUCACUAAUGACCAGUAUGAUGUCUUCCAUUGCCUUGCUCGGACUUUCUUCGGAAGUUUACCUGCAUGGUAUUCAAUUUGUUGUUAUCAAUAUUGGAUAUGUCAUUGCCGCUCCUAUUGUAGCCUACUUUUUCUUGCCUGUCUACUUUAAACUGCAAGCUACAUCUAUAUUCGAGUAUUUGGAGAAACGAUUCGGCCUGAAAACAAGGUUUAUGGCGUCGUUGAUAUAUUUUAUGCAGACUGUGCUGUAUAUGGGUGUGGUGCUGUAUGCCCCGGCCCUCACAUUGGAAGCCAUCACUGGGCUGUCGGCAGAUUGGGCCAUCCUUGCCACCGGGCUCAUCUGCACCUUCUACUCGACCAUUGGUGGCAUUAAGGCUGUCAUAGUUACUGAUGUCUUCCAGAUGAUCCUGAUGUUUAUGGCUUUAUUUACUGUGAUAUUUACUUCAGUAUUUGACGUUGGUGGCUUUAGUCAAAUUAUUAGUAUUGCUGCUGAAAAUGAGAGACUGAAUUUUUUCAACUUCGACCCAGACCCCACCGUUCGUCAUACGUUUUGGAGUCUGGUGAUUGGAGGUGGCACAACCUACCUGGCACUGACCACCACCAACCAAACCCAGGUUCAGCGGUUCAUGACCCUGCAAGACCUCAGGAUGGCGGUCAUUGCUCUGUUCAUAUCAGUUGUUGUCACCAGCUGCCUGUCAUUGACCACUGCCUUCUCUGGUUUGGCGAUCUUCGCUUACUACAAAGACUGUGAUCCUAUUGUAUCAGAAAGAAUAACAAGAGGUGACCAAUUAAUGCCACUCUAUGCAGUGGACAGAUUGCACCGUAUACCUGGCAUGACAGGUCUCUUUGUUUCUGGAAUAUUCUCUGCCGGCUUGAGUACUAUAUCUGCUAUAUUGAACUCUUUAGCUGCCAUAACUGUUGAGGACUAUAUCAAGCCAGGCUACAAUCUCUGGGUUGAAGAUGCAUUCCCAGACGAGAUGAAAAUUCGUCUAACCAAAGGGCUGGUAUUCGUUUUUGGAAUUGUUUGCAUCGGAAUGGCUUUUUUGGCCAAAGUUCUUGGAGGAAUACUUCAAGCGUCACUGACUAUUUUCGGAGUUGUGGGUGGUCCUUUGUUGGGCGUAUUCAGCCUAGGAAUGUUCUUACCUUUCGCCAAUGAGAGGGGUGCCAUUGCUGGUACGAUUUCAAGUCUGCUGAUUUCAAUGUGGCUGGGCUUCAGUCCAAAGCCACCAGCCUCCCCUCUGCCCGUAUCUGUCGAAAACUGUCAGGAUAUCAUUGAAUCAGCCGUGCUCUGUACUGUCAACUCCACUUGUAAUUUCAAACCAAAUUCAAAACCUCAAGCCAAUUAUUUCUAUUUAUAUAGAAUCAGCUACCUGUGGUAUGUUGUUAUCGGCUUCCUAUUAACCAUUCUGAUAGGAUCAAUUGUGAGUCUUAUAUUCAAAUCUCGGAGAAAAAUUGAAGAUCUAAAUCCAGAUCUAUUUGUUCCACCAGUAGCCAAAUACAUUCAGAGGAGAAAACGUAACAAAUCGGACAACAUUAGAAGUAAUAAAUUCAGUGGAAAUGUGAACUAAAAUUCAUCGAAACUCAUUAAUUAUUCGAUUGUUCCCAUCAUCCUGCAUGCUUGGUCUGUAAAUAUGGCACUUUGGGAAGAUACUCUCAAAUAACAUAAAUGGAGGAAAAGAAAAAGAUGAUACUGAAACUUGUCUUCUGUGAACAUCAUCAUUAUCAUAAUCAUCAAUAUUUAAAAAGGCUAUUGUUUCUAAGAAAUGAUAAUAAAGGUGCAAGGUUCGCUUUACAUU
rnacentral:misc_RNA from 1 species